rnacentral:rRNA from 1 species
AUGGCGCGGAAGCACGGCUGGCAGCUCCCGGCCCACACCCUGCAGAUUGUUGCAAUUACUGUAUUCUUCCUUCUGGUGGUUGCAUUUUAUGCCUUCUUUGCACCAUUUCUGGGAACACAAGUCCUUGAGUAUGUUGCGAUAGGCAUUUAUACUCCCAUGGCGUUGGCUGUCUUCAUCCUUUACAUCCGGUGCACAAGUAUUAAUCCUGCUGAUCAUGGUAUCAUGGCAAGGUUUGAGGAUGGUUUUGUCGAUGUACCUGCUAACAGCGAUGGAUUGGAAGGCAUAAACUUGCCCCAGAAAGCAAACAGCGCUAUUGGAACACACUCCCCAACAUCUACUUGCAGAAGCUCUCUAGAUGGCCAUUCUAAUCACAGAGGUACAUCUAUAGGGGAAGCAAACGUAAAUGUGAGCUCACAACUGCCGAAGAAAAGAUCAAGUUGUUUCCUCUUUGGUGGGCUCGUGUGUGCUUUAUUUGUUAAGGAGGACUGCCGGAAGCCUGAUGAUUCAGAGCAACAAGCUAAUGGCGAAGAGGCUCUGUUUUGCACAUUAUGCAAUGCUGAGGUUCGCAAAUUCAGUAAACACUGCAGAAGCUGUGACAAGUGCGUGGAUGGAUUUGAUCAUCAUUGUCGGUGGCUGAAUAAUUGUGUUGGGCGGAAGAACUACUUCACGUUUAUUGCUCUGAUGGCAAUCAGUCUCCUAUGGCUUGCAAUUGAAUUUGGAGUGGGCAUUGCUGUUCUUGUUCUCUGCUUUGUCGAUAAGAAUUCACCAAGAAUUCUCCAAGAAAAGCUUGGGAAUGGCUUGACUCGCGCUCCAUUUGCUGUGAUUGUAGGUAUAUUCACACUUCUGUCAUUAGUGGCCUGCGUACCUUUAGGAGAACUUUUCUUCUUCCACAUGAUAUUGAUCAGAAAGGGGAUCUCAACCUAUGAUUAUGUGGUCGCAAUGAGAGCUAUGAGCGAGGGGAUUCCAGAAGACGAGGAAGGAGCAAAUAUCAUCUAUUCCCCCUCAAAUUCAGCAACAACCGGAUUCAGUGUUGGAAGUUCUCUUGGCCUUCACCACAAGGGUGCUUGGUGUACACCUCCAAGAAUAUUUAUUGAUCAGGAUGAAGUGAUUCCACAUUUGGACCCUGGGAUGGUUCCUUCAACCGUUGAUCCUGAUGCUGCUGGAUACGCUGAAAGAGCAAACAAAGCCAAGAAGCCAGUCAAGAUCAGUGCCCGGAGCCUUGCAAAGCUGGACAGAAACGAGGUGAUGAAAGCUGCGGCAAAAGCUCGGGCAUCAUCCUCUGUUCUCCGACCAAUAGAUGCCCGUCAUGGCCAUGAAGCUGAUAUUAGCUCCAGUGGCAAUGCCAGCGUCAGGAGUAGUAUGAGUGUUGAUUACAGUGCUACAAAGGAAUCGAGGAGUGAGAUGAGGCUGUCUCCUCUACAGAACUCAUAUCCACAGAGUCUUGCAAGCCAGGAUGACUAUGAGACUGGCACACAGACCGCAAGCAGUUUAAGCAGCCCGGUCCACAUCCACAAGCUUGCCCCUCAUGCUCAAUUUCGUGCAGCACCUCAUCCAGCUCCACCUCCUGAAAGGCCUGCGCUAGGGAUUACAAGGCCACCUGUUCCUGCCACACAUAUAAGUAACAACCCAAUGUUCCAGUCAGCCACAUCAUAUGUCAGGGAGAACCGCAGAGCCUCUGUUGUCUGGGAUCAAGAGGCUGGUCGGUACGUGUCAGUGCCCAUGCAAACAACAAGAACAGGACCCGGUGUUGAGCUGCCUGCAAGAAACCCAAGUUUCUUGGCGAAUCCAAGUGGUGAACCAGGCAACCAUGGGAGAAAUCUUGCACCUGCGAACACGACAUCAUCAGCGAUUCCUUCGGGCCAGCCGUCUGAGAGAUUGACGUACACAGGCCAAUCAAUAUUCUUUGGUGGGCCAAUCCUGAGCACCACCGGCAUAAAUGCAGAAAGGAAUGAGGCUGGCACAAGAGUGCGCCCUGAGGGAAGCAGAGAUCCCAACUCCCACCAGCGGGACAUCCGUGGCGAGAAGGCUCGGACAGGCUCCUUCCCGUUGUUUGAGCCUAGGAAUUUCUAA